rnacentral:rRNA from 1 species
GACGAACGCUGGCGGCGUGCCUAACACAUGCAAGUCGAACGGAAAGUCCCGCUUGUGGGGUACUCGAGUGGCUAACGGGUGAGUAACUCGUGUUUAACCUACCCUUGCCUUCGGGAUAACUUCCUGAUACUGGGUCUAAUCCUCGAUCGGAGCUCCUGCCGCAUGUUGGGGGUCGGACAUUUUAGGCGGUUGGUGGUGGACUCGCAGCUUAUCAGCUUGUUGGUGGGGUAGUGGCUAACCAAGACGUUGAGCGGUAGCAGGCCUGAGAGGGGGCCCGGCCAAAUUGGGACUGAGAUAAGGCACAGACUAGUACGGGAGGCAGGAGAGGGGAAGAUUACACAAUGGGAGGAGGCAUGAUGCGGCAAAGCAGCGUGGGGGAUGAGGGGAUGCGGGUAGGAAACCGAUGUCGCCUGUGACGAAGCGUGAGUGACGGUAAUGGGUAAAGAAGCACCGGCUAACUACGUG